GCAAGUCGAACGGCAGCGCGGGAGCAAUCCUGGCGGCGAGUGGCGAACGGGUGAGUAAUACAUCGGAACGUGCCCAAUCGUGGGGGAUAACGCAGCGAAAGCUGUGCUAAUACCGCAUACGAUCUACGGAUGAAAGCAGGGGAUCGCAAGACCUUGCGCGAAUGGAGCGGCCGAUGGCAGAUUAGGUAGUUGGUGAGGUAAAGGCUCACCAAGCCUUCGAUCUGUAGCUGGUCUGAGAGGACGACCAGCCACACUGGGACUGAGACACGGCCCAGACUCCUACGGGAGGCAGCAGUGGGGAAUUUUGGACAAUGGGCGCAAGCCUGAUCCAGCCAUGCCGCGUGCAGGAUGAAGGCCUUCGGGUUGUAAACUGCUUUUGUACGGAACGAAACGGCUCUUUCUAAUAAAGAGGGCUAAUGACGGUACCGUAAGAAUAAGCACCGGCUAACUACGUGCCAGCAGCCGCGGUAAUACGUAGGGUGCAAGCGUUAAUCGGAAUUACUGGGCGUAAAGCGUGCGCAGGCGGUGAUGUAAGACAGUUGUGAAAUCCCCGGGCUCAACCUGGGAACUGCAUCUGUGACUGCAUUGCUGGAGUACGGCAGAGGGGGAUGGAAUUCCGCGUGUAGCAGUGAAAUGCGUAGAUAUGCGGAGGAACACCGAUGGCGAAGGCAAUCCCCUGGGCCUGUACUGACGCUCAUGCACGAAAGCGUGGGGAGCAAACAGGAUUAGAUACCCUGGUAGUCCACGCCCUAAACGAUGUCAACUGGUUGUUGGGUCUUCACUGACUCAGUAACGAAGCUAACGCGUGAAGUUGACCGCCUGGGGAGUACGGCCGCAAGGUUGAAACUCAAAGGAUUGACGGGGGACCCGCACAAGCGGUGGAUGAUGUGGUUUAAUUCGAUGCAACGCGAAAAACCUUACCCACCUUUGACAUGUACGGAAUUUGCCAGAGAUGGCUUAGUGCUCGGAAAGAGAGCCGUAACACAGGUGCUGCAUGGCUGUCGUCAGCUCGUGUCGGGAGAUGUAGGUUAAAGUCCCCCCACGAGCGCAACCUUGGUCAUUAGGUGCUACAUUCAGUUGGGCACUCUAAUGGAAACUGCCGGGUGACAAUCGGAAGGAGGGUGGCGAUGACGUCCAAGUCCUCCAUGGCCCUAUUAUAUGGGGCUACACACGUCAUACAAUGGCUGGUACAAAGGGUUGCCAACCCGCGAGGGGGAGCUAAUCCCAUAAAACCAGUCGUAGUCCGGAUCGCAGUCUGCAACUCGACUGCGUGAAGUCGGAAUCGCUAGUAAUCGUGGAUCAGAAUGCCACGGUGAAUACGUUCCCGGGUCUUGUACACACCGCCCGUCACACCAUGGGAGCGGGUUCUGCCAGAAGUAGUUAGCUUAACCGCAAGGAGGGCGAUACCACCGGA
rnacentral:rRNA from 1 species